UGAGGAAUCUUGCGCAAUGGGGGAAACCCUGACGCAGCGACGCCGCGUGCGGGAUGAAGGCCUUCGGGUCGUAAACCGCUUUUCUGGGGGACGAGUAAGGACGGUACCUCAGGAAUAAGUCCCGGCUAACUACGUGCCAGCAGCCGCGGUAAAACGUAGGGGGCGAGCGUUAUCCGGAAUUACUGGGCGUAAAGGGCGUCUAGGCGGUUCAUUAAGUCCUGCGUGAAAGCUCCCGGCUCAACUGGGAGAGCGCGUGGGGGACUGGUGGGCUAGAGACUCGGAGAGGGGUGUGGAAUUCCCGGUGGAGUGGUGAAAUGCGUUGAGAUCGGGAGGAACACCAGUGGCGAAGGCGGCACCCUGGCCGACGUCUGACGCUGAAGCGCGACAGCGUGGGGAGCAAACGGGAUUAGAUACCCCCGUAGUCC
rnacentral:rRNA from 1 species